GACGAACGCUGGCGGCGUGCUUAACACAUGCAAGUCGAACGGAAAGGCCCUGCUUUUGUGGGGUGCUCGAGUGGCGAACGGGUGAGUAACACGUGAGUAACCUGCCCUUGACUUUGGGAUAACUUCAGGAAACUGGGGCUAAUACCGGAUAGGAGCUCCUGCUGCAUGGUGGGGGGUGGAAAGUUUCGGCGGUUGGGGAUGGACUCGCGGCUUAUCAGCUUGUUGGUGGGGUAGUGGCUGACCAAGGCUUUGACGGGUAGCCGGCCUGAGAGGGUGACCGGCCACAUUGGGACUGAGAUACGGCCCAGACUCCUACGGGAGGCAGCAGUGGGGAAUAUUGCACAAUGGGCGGACGCCUGAUGCAGCAACGCCGCGUGCGGGAUGACGGCCUUCGGGUUGUAAACCGCUUUCGCCUGUGACGAAGCGUGAGUGACGGUAAUGGGUAAAGAAGCACCGGCUAACUACGUG
rnacentral:rRNA from 1 species